rnacentral:rRNA from 1 species
GAUGAACGCUGGCGGCGUGCCUAAUACAUGCAAGUCGAGCGAACAGACGAGGAGCUUGCUCCUCUGACGUUAGCGGCGGACGGGUGAGUAACACGUGGAUAACCUACCUAUAAGACUGGGAUAACUUCGGGAAACCGGCGCUAAUACCGGAUAAUAUAUUGCACCGCAUGGUUCAAUAGUGAAAGACGGUUUUGCUGUCACUUAUAGAUGGAUCCGCGCCGCAUUAGCUAGUUGGUAAGGUAACGGCUUACCAAGGCAACGAUGCGUAGCCGACCGGAGAGGGUGAUCGGCCACACUGGAACUGAGACACGGUCCAGACUCCUACGGGAGGCAGCAGUAGGGAAUCUUCCGCAAUGGGCGAAAGCCUGACGGAGCAACGCCGCGUGAGUGAUGAAGAUCUUCGGAUCGUAAAACUCUGUUAUUAGGGAAGAACAACUGUGUAAGUAACUAUGCACGUCUUGACGGUACCUAAUCAGAAAGCCACGGCUAACUACGUG